UUGCGUUAAGGAUUGUAGAGGAAAUCCUUUUUAUUUUAUUUUUCUUAAAAUAAAAAGAUUGUAACGUAAAGCCUGACCCGCU
rnacentral:sRNA from 1 species